rnacentral:tRNA from 1 species
GCGGGAGUAGCUCAGCCGGUAGAGCACAACCUUGCCAAGGUUGGGGUCGCGAGUUCGAGUCUCGUCUCCCGCUCCA